ACGGGUCCAUCUGCUUGGCAUCACACCCAUCCAUCCACAUGGAAACAUCCCAUCGUGUCAAUGAGUCAUGUCAAAGAGUCAUAUCGUUAAAUAAAAAACAGUAAUGGAAUUUGUGACUAUGCAGCCUUAAACAUAAGAUGAGCUUGAGCUUUUAAAUUACAGAAAAGCACCUCUCCAGAAGGGAGGACAUACUGGACCUGCGCAGAACAGGUUAGUUCGUGGAUUUGAAACCAUGAAGGAACCACGCCGUCAGAUGGAGUUUCUGGAGCUGCGGAUGAAGAAGCUAGCCGUUGUCCUGAGAGAGAGCAGAUCUGGUCUGCUGGGGAGAGUCCCUGGAGGAAGGAUGGACAUCUGCAGCAGUGACCAGGGAAGAGGUUCAGCACUGCCCCGAAUCCCGUCUUCAGCCGAGGACAUUUAAGAAGGAACUGAGGGAGGGUGCAGGAUGCACACACUCAGGCAGACCCUAACAAUGCCGCGAGACAGCAGCUGAGCGCAUGCAUCCCGACCAGGCACUGCCACCGAAGAUCUCUAAUCAACGGCGCCAGGACGCACCAUCACCUGGAGUGGAGCACCCACAGGGACAGCACUCGAAGAACAACACAUCUUUGCUCAAAGUGUUAGGGUGACCAAAUGU